GACGAACCGUCCAAACGUUAUUCGGAAUCACUGGGCUUACAGAGUUCGUAGGCGGUCUGGAAAGUUGGGUGUGAAAUCCCUCGGCUUAACCGGGGAACUGCGUCUGAUACUGGAUGGCUUGAGUUUGGGAGAGGGAUGGCGGAAUUCCAGGUGUAGCGGUGAAAUGCGUAGAUAUCUGGAGGAACACCGGUGGCGAAGGCGGCAUCCUGGACCAACACUGACGCUGAGGAGCGAAAGCCAGGGGAGCAAACGGGG
rnacentral:rRNA from 1 species